UUUUCAGUGCACCAGGGUUGACCAGACUUGGGGAACUGACUCUCAUAAAUUGGACUCACCAAAACCUGAUGUAUGUAAUUUGCAAUGAAGGAUAUGCCUUCCUCUUUCCAAGGACCAGAAUUUUAUGCCACUUUUUGGAGCUUACUCUUCUUCAUAUCAAGAUACCUGAGAAGCCAAAUUCAUCAUCAGGAUCUUUCUUAGUGAGCAGCAAAAAAUAAGGUACAAGAAAGUUGAUAGCCAACACGGAUAUUUCAUCUCAUCCCUGGUAAAACCUGAAGAGGUCAUGUGAGCACAUGGCAACAUGGCACCCAUUGAGAGACGAGGCCUCAGAACAAAAUCUGCAUUGUUUGCAUCUUGCUCUUGGACUUAUAGCCUCAGGGACCAGAGAAAUAAAUGUUUAUUGUUUAAG